GUCUGGGUGGUGUAGUUGGUUAUCACGCUAGUCUUAUACACUUGAGGUCCCUAGUUCAAACCUGGUCUCAAACA